rnacentral:lncRNA from 1 species
GUAGAUAAAACUUUUCGAUAAAAUCGCUAGCCUUUACUUUAAACAAAGUCCUUUUUCGUAUAACUAAAAGCUGCAACUUUCUAAAAAGAGCAUUUUCAUUACGUUUUAAAUUCCAAGGAUAUAAUCACCGAAAAAAAGAUCCACCGACUAUGUGCGUAUACAACAAAGCCUUUAUAAAUUACUUUUUGAAAGAAAAAAAAAAGUCGCAUGUUUUAUGCACUAAAAAUACGAUUACGAUUUGGGUGACACCCAACCCAUUCGACCCAUUUGACUGUUUCAUCUUUAUCUAACGUUGAAUGUUAAAGAUAAAACACCCAACCCAUUCGACCCAUUUGACUGUUUCAUCUUUAUCUAACGUUGAAUGUUAAAGAUAAAACAUAACCCGUGUCAACCACGGGUCGAAAUUGUCACCUGUACUAUGGUACAAGAAAGCUUGUAUUAUAAUGAUGCAUUGAUGGCAUGGCAUACAACCUAUAGAACUUUUGUGGUAAAACUUAUUUGAGAAAAAAACAUCACCUCUGUGGGGAUAUCGGGUGAGAACCAACGCAAUAAUACUCCAAGAUGUACAACAGCAGGAAUCAGUUUAAAAAGGAACGGUUACUGUUAGAGGUGGCAAGAAGCCAGGUCAAAAUGAGUUCUGGUUAA